UGAAGAAAUGAAAACAUAAAUGCAAUAUAAUGUUUGAGAGAAAGUUAAAUUAAAAUUUAAACCUUUUAAUUAGUGUUAUGGAGAAGAUUGACCAGUUUUUUCAAUGUUGAAGAUGAUCAGGUUUAUGGUCUUGAAUGAAGUUACAAAUUUAUGCCAACAAUUCGCCGAGCUUUCGCGACAUAUAGUCGCAUCAUCAGGGACUAUAUGUCGCGAAAGCUCGGCGAAUUGUUGGCAUAAAUUUGUAACUUCAUUCAAGACCAUAAACCUGAUCCUCUUCAACUUUUGAUUAGAGACAAAAUCUUUGCAUAAUGUAAAUAAUUGAGCGAAAGGCUCCUUUUAUCAUGUUAAUCCUUCUUGCAUAAACCGAACGUGUUCUUACUUAUCUUCAGCCUUUUGCAGUACCUACGUCAAAAUUUGCUUUAAUAAAUAUAUAAAAGGAUGAUUUGCAGGGAAUCUGAAAUUGAAUUUUUAAAUAAAAAGGCAAAGUUAGAGAAAUUAAGUGGACAUAAUCGAAAUAAACGAUAUCGUGGCCCGGAGAACCAACGUUACGAUCUGAAGAUGUUUUCAGCUGUAAAGGUGGUUGAAACGAGGAACCAAGGCAAAGCUGAUGAGAUUCAAACCCAGAAUCAAUCGCUCUAACAACUCGGCCACUUUAGUCCGUAUGAUGAUGAUGAAAGGAUACCAGGAAAUUGAGAGACAUGAACGAUAGAGCCGAUUUCUUCAAUUUCAAUCUUCUCCAAUUGUUUAACUCCUUCUUGAUUUAACGUUGACAACUUUCGAGCGGUCGUGCAGUUUUUUCCCUUACACCUAGCAGAGUUCGUAAAACUAAACUCACAGCAAUGGGGUGACAGGUGGCCAUCCAUGGAGUGUAAGUGUGCAAUCAUCCUCAAAGAGAAAAAAAAAACUAUCCUCAGGGUACAAAACUACGCCUGUGCAAAUUGUCAUGUAAAUUUUCUUCACCGUUUAUUUGAAUCCUUUCCGUCAAUUAUGCAUAUUUAUGCCUUCUACUUUUUUUGUACUUCUUAAUUUAUCCAUUUAACGUAAUUUACUAAUAUGAUAAUUUUCUUUAGUAAGGAAAGUUUUUUGCUCACGUAGGAAAUCCCGCCUAUCAGACUGUGUAAGUGUUUCAGAAUUGUUGAACUUAGCAGUACAGGGAGUGGAGAUUUGUGUGCUGCCAUAAGCUACUGAAAGUUUUUAUUCAGAUGUCUCAAGUUUGAUUUGAAUUCACAUUAAGAAAGCAGAGAAACAAACACGUUGCAAUUCGUGACUAAUUUGUAAAUAAUUUUCUUAAGGACUACGGAGGUAAGUUGGAUAUAUGAAGAUCCAUUAUUUCAAUGAGAAUAUUCAUGGAUUAUACCACACGUAUAUACCAAUAAGCCUGCUAAAUAUGGUAUUGAUAACUUUGCAGUGUGCGUUACAGAGACCUUCUACACUAUCAAAAUGGAAAAAUACAUAGGAACUCGACUUUCUGCAUUUGUCUGUUUAUUACAUUUUUUUCUUCUUCUUGGAAAAAAAAAAAAAAAAUAAAACUUAAAUAGUGGCGGG